rnacentral:SRP_RNA from 1 species
AGAAAAGGAUUGCCCUCUGAUGGUUCCGCAUGCAUGGUUUGGGUCCUGCGCAAUGGGAUGCCGUGAACCUUGUCAGGUCCGGAAGGAAGCAGCAAUAAGCGGAAGUUCUUAUGUGCCGCAGAAAAGCCUUCUCCAACGCCUGCGGGAUCAUCAGAGGGCAAUUCGGUUUU